rnacentral:lncRNA from 12 species
GUGCGCCCGGCAGGUCCGACGUGAGCACCAGGUGCGCCCGGCAGGUCCGACGUGAGCACCAGGUGUGCCCGGCAGGUCCGGGCCGGGCCGGGGGCGGUGCUGGAGAGGACGCCCCCGCACCCCUGAGAGAUCGCCUCUGCUGCGAGGGCUGAGGCACAAGCGGUCAGGACGGGGCCUUUCUUUCCCCCGAUUUUACAACGCCCAUCUCCUCUUUUCCCUACACUACAGUAAGGGGGGAAAAUUAACUAAGGGCUUACUUUUUAAUUAAAUGCAGUACCACUUAGGAAGAUGUAUGCUAAUCUGAGGCCAGAUCUGCCGCCCUCAGCUGCACAAGACGCUGGCCCCAGCAGAGGCUGUAAAGCUCUCGAUAAGAGAGGCCGGGAGCAAGGUGCAGGUCCCCCAGCGAUAACCUCCUGACUCCGAUAUUAUAGGUCUCUCGGCUGGAAUUGAGUUCUACAUCUUACUCGAUGGGCUGUUGUCACAGAUGAGUAAUGAACGCACCCUGCCCGCGUCCCAGGGUGCAGGACGCGGCCGGCCAGGCCACCCGGAGGCCCAGCUGCGGGCGGCGGGGCGGGCGGCGCGGCCAAGGCGGUUAAAGGCGCAGCCACCGCGGCGAGAGCGCGCGCCCUGCGGGGGGCGGGGGUGUCCUGGGGGCCCGGCCCGGAGCCGGUGCAUUAAUCACGCGGCUCCCCCGGCUAAGGGGCAGAGCCCGGGGAGCAGCCCCGACCCCGGAACAAAGGCAGAACGUGAUGAAGGGCGCACCUCUGCCAAUGCGGGCUUUGCAGAGGGGCUGGGAAAUGAAUGGCCCUUACCUCCGCGGCCAGUUCUAAAAUUCUGCAUAUCUAAACAGGCUCCCCUCAUCACCCAGCCCAGAAAACUGCACAUCUGGGAAGAAGCAUUUGGAUGAGAGUAGUACUUAAAGAGAUUUAAAUAUGAGCAUGAUUAAACCCAAGAAGUCGAUAUGAUUUUGCAAUGUGAAUCUGGAGAGAGUGUUGGUGUGAUCUGGGCUGCAGAACCAGCCAGUCAUUGUCAUACAGAUAAGGUAUGAAUUUUUUUAAUUUUUUUUUUUUUUUUUUUACUGUUUUAGAGUGAUAGUUCUCCUAAUGGGGACCUUGGUUAAAAACUGAAAUGAACUAGAAUAGUGUCCAGGCAAACCACGUGAUAGACACACUGAAGAGUAAGUAGAACAAAUAAAAUAAAACAUGACUAAUGAGUC